UACGAAGGGGGCUAGCGUUGCUCGGAAUCACUGGGCGUAAAGCGCACGUAGGCGGCUUUUUAAGUCAGGGGUGAAAUCCCUCGGCUCAACCGGGGAACUGCGUCUGAUACUGGAUGGCUUGAAUUCGGGAGAGGGAUGCGGAAUUCCAGGUGUAGCGGUGAAAUGCGUAGAUAUCUGGAGGAACACCGGUGGCGAAGGCGGCAUCCUGGACCGAGAUUGACGCUGAUGCGCGAAAGCCAGGGGAGCAAACGGG
rnacentral:rRNA from 1 species